GUUGAAACAGCGGUUUCCGUACGAUCAUCACCGAAGUUAAGCAGCGUUGAGCCUGGUCAGUACCUAGAUAGGUGACCGCUUAGGAAUAACGUGC